rnacentral:tRNA from 7 species
GGCCUGAUGGCAGAAUGGUGAUGCAACGGACUGCAAAUCCGUGAAUGUGGGUUCGAUUCCCGCUCAGGCCUCCA